AGUAAGAUUGGAGGAAGAUGAGGAGGUCUUCACAAUAGUGACAAUGAAGAACUAGAAGUAAAUCAUGAGACAGAUUUCUCAUCGUAUGUCAAAUACAGACGUGUCACAUUGCUUUUCAACAACUAUGAUGUACUUCAACCCAAGUCCAAGAGAACAGCAGGACUUGAAUGACCCUCAAAUAAGUGAUGGUAGUAUGGUGGAAAACAGCCUUUGGUUGUACAGAAAAUUUAAGUUGAAAUAUUAUUCUGUCAAUCAAAUUUGCCUUCAGGAAUACAGG